AGUAACACGUGGAUAAUCUACCCGAUAGAUCGGGAUAACAUUCGAAAGAGAUGCUAAUACCGAAUAAGCCCACAAUGUCCUUGGACGAUGUGGGAAAAGGUGGGGACCUUCGGGCCUGCCGUUAUCGGAUGAGUCCGCGUCCCAUUAGCUAGUUGGUAGGGUAAUGGCCUACCAAGGCUACGAUGGGUAGCUGGUCUGAGAGGACGAUCAGCCACACUGGAACUGAGACACGGUCCAG
rnacentral:rRNA from 1 species